AGUGAACGCUGGCGGUAGGCCUAACACAUGCAAGUCGAACGGCAGCACAGUAAGAGCUUGCUCUUACGGGUGGCGAGUGGCGGACGGGUGAGGAAUACAUCGGAAUCUACUUUUUCGUGGGGAUAACGUAGGGAAACUUACGCUAAUACCGCAUACGACCUACGGGUGAAAGCAGGGGAUCUUCGGACCUUGCGCGAUUGAAUGAGCCGAUGUCGGAUUAGCUAGUUGGCGGGGUAAAGGCCCACCAAGGCGACGAUCCGUAGCUGGUCUGAGAGGAUGAUCAGCCACACUGGAACUGAGACACGGUCCAGACGCCUACGGGAGGCAGCAGUGGGGAAUAUUGGACAAUGGGCGCAAGCCUGAUCCAGCCAUACCGCGUGGGUGAAGAAGGCCUUCGGGUUGUAAAGCCCUUUUGUUGGGAAAGAAAAGCAGCAGGUUAAUACCCCGCUGUUCUGACGGUACCCAAAGAAUAAGCACCGGCUAACUUCGUG
rnacentral:rRNA from 1 species